AUCCAAUCAGUUCAACAAAAGAUCUUUGGUUCAACUGAACAACAGGUUUCUACAGCAGAAAUAUGUUCUUAGCAGAUAGAUAGCUACCUUCGAUUUGUUUGCGGGAAAGAACCUGGCUCAAGUUGGCUCUGUCUUUUUUCCCUGAAAUUGAUAGGAAUAAUUAUAGGCUGGAAACUUAGCUUACAUUGGGCUAGCUUGACAGCUGCAAAGCAGAAGGAGGAAGCAGCAUGCCAAAACGCUAUGGGACGAUUGUUUCUCCACAUAAGGAGCCAAGGGAUGCUGCUAACAGAAGUUCCAGGAGAUUGUCAGGCCAUGGCAAUGAUGCAAUGCUGAAUCAGCAAGGGCAGAAUAAUGUUUCAGAUCAUGAGGGAGGGCAGAGUAACGGAAACUCAACUGCAGUGGAGGAGAUUUACCUUCCACCUCAACUAGGGAGCUCAAAAUGGCAACAGAGAAGAGGUACAGGCAGUGGGGCCAACCUGGACUCAACAGAGAGGUACACUGUGGACAUCAGUAAUACAAGCCUGGAGGUAGAGAGGACAGUGUCGGAGAGUAAAAAAAGCCCCCGCAAAAUGAACCUCCUGCACCGGUCGAGUACAGCCUUGUGCAAACUUGGACUGUCUGAGGCGGAGAUCAAAACGGAGAUAGAGAAUGACAAGUUGGAGCUGGUCAGAGACCUAGUGAAGAUGCCACGUAAGCCAAGAGCCCAGGCCAUACGAUCGCUGCCAGUGAGCUGUGACGAGAAGAGGAACAUUAGGAAUAGAGUGCUCCAAGCAAAGUUUUCCAAAGACUCCGUCAAGCGCACAUGUUGCACAGACUGCUCGGAGCGAGUCUCACUGUCUUUACGCAGGUGGUGGCUGCACGUGUGGCACGGCGCCCUGAAGGAGAUUGGCGGUUGGUUCGACUCGGCCGUCCUCACCUACUUCUGCUUCAUCAAGUGGCUGUUCAUGUUCAACGUCUUCCUGCUGGCCUUCAACCUGAGCUUCAUCACCGUGCCCGAGAUUGUGCACAUGUACAACAGCACCACCAACAGCACCUUUGAAGGCCUGGACCUGCUCACUGCCGCUGGUUACUUUCACAAGUCAAUCAUGUUUUAUGGAGGCUAUAAUGGUGAGGUGAUAAAGGCUGGCUCUUAUGACAUGCAGCUGGCAUAUCUGUUAACCAUGUUAACAUAUAUGAUGCUGUGUGGCAUAUCUAUUGUGUACAGUUUGGGUAAAUCAGUGUGGAAGAACGUGAUUGUUUAUAGCCCUGCCACGGGUGGUGCGUGGCGUCUGUUAUGCAGCUGGGACUUCAGCAUCUUGAAUGAGAAGGCCAUCCACAGCUUCCAGAAGAAGCUGUUUAUCCAGAUCAAGGAGUCCUUAUCGGAUACCACAGAGAAGACUGUGCUUAGUACGCCAGACAGGUUGAGAAAUGUCUCUCUCCAUCUUGCUGCAUGGCUGCUGUACAUUGGCCUGGCGUUUGUCUCCUGUGCUGCUGUCUAUGUUUUGUCCACAUAUAACCUAGAAAUUAAGGUGGCUCUGCAUGCAAGAGACUUGAAAUCUGAGGCCUUUUUUCUGUUUCUGCCAAUUCUGGUUUCGUUCAUCAAUCUGGUGAUUCCUCUGCUCUAUGCAUUCAUCUCCCGAUUAGAAAACUACGAGAACCUCCGUGCAAAGCUGUAUGCCGGCCUGGCCAGAGAUGUCUUGCUGAAGAUGUCGAUUCUGGGAAUCCUGUGUUACUACUGGUUGACUGAUGUACCCAGUAACCUCUCUUGCUGGGAGUCUUUUGUGGGUCAGGAUGUUUACCGAAUGGCCAUCGCUGACUUUCUGUUCAGUGUGCUGGGAUGCGUCUUUGGAGAGUACUUGGGCAGCUUGAUCGGAACCAAGUGCAUGAAAACUCUUAAACCGCCAGAAUUUAAUAUCACUAGAAAUGUUCUCGAUCUGAUCUAUGCCCAGACACUGGUUUGGAUUGGGGUGUAUUUUUCUCCUCUGUUGCCAAUCAUUCAGAUAGUCAAGUUGUUCAUCAUAUUUUACAUGAAGAAGGUGAGCAUCAGUCUGAUCUGCCGGCCGUCCACUCGAGCAGGCCUCGGCGCGGAGAUGAAAACUGCCUUCACAGCGUUGCUCUUCUUCCCCUCGUACAUCGGCUCUUUGUUCAUAAUGGGCUACACAGUGUGGAGUCUAAAGCCCUCUGCCCACUGCGGGCCUUUCCAAGGAUUGGAUGCGCCCAUAGAUGCCGUGUCCAAGCUUGUGAUUCAGGGCAAGCUCCUGUUAUUGCUUCUAUCGAUCAUGCUCAUCGUCCUGUAUUUUUUCUGGCAAGUGGUUCAGGACCGGAAACGGCUCAUCAGCCUCCUGCGUGAGCAGAUCAUCAACGAGGGGAAAGACAAGGCCUUCCUGCUGGGGAAACUGCGCAUGGCACAGGGGGGCACGGCCAGACCUCAGGUGCACUUCCUGGAUGAGGGGGCACAGGCUGUCAAAAGGCCGACGACGUUCAGAGUGCCCCAGAGCACGGCAGGCCCCAGGGGGCUCAGAAAGGGUAGUAGAGUAGGGCCAAGCAGGCCAGCAGCAGCAGAGAGUGCCCAGGCGUCCGCCCCAGCCCCGACCCCAGUGCAGCCCACGCCUGCCGCGUCUGUGGAGUCUCCACAACAGCAGCCGCAGCGCGCGUCUGAUCGGAGAGCCUCCACUGCGGCACGGGGGAACAGCCCGGCGCGGUCAGCCGGCCAAGGCCAAAGCCCCCGCGCCGCCCCCGGGGAGAGGCAGCCGGAGAGCCCCGGUGUGGGUAGGGGCAGCCGGGUGGAGUGCUGGGUGGAGGACGAGAGGCCGGACAAGCAGGGCUCCUCCCCAGCUCCUCCGCCUCCUGCUGCUGGGGGCAGCACGACCACAACACCCCCGAGGUUCCCCCGACUAGAGCCCCUUACUACGCGUGGUGCCCAGGCAGCACUGACCAGACUGUCAGACAGGACUCCCAGACCCAAACGCUGACAUGAAUCACAUCAGGGAAAUCAGGGGUUACUUUUAUGUCAGAUAGAUUACAUUUUCUUUAUUGGUGGUAUUCUAGAAUUCUUAGUCUUUGGGCCUAAUUUCCAGUGGCUAUGAAGAUGAUGCUGAAAUUGUUAGCUGCGAUUAUUGUAUGCUUUGUUUUUGGAACUUACAUGUUCACUUUUUCUCUAUGUGUUUUCUCCUCAGGAGUGUUGUGAUGAUUUCAGUUCUUGAUUCCAUCAUAUUGGAUUAAUAGGGUGUCGCCCUGCUUUGGACAGUUCCAUCUUCUUCAGGUUGACCCUCGGACUGGGAGGAGAUACAGAAAUAAACAUUCUGCAGCUUUCCAGUGCAGUGA